AUUGAACGCUGGCGGCAUGCUCUACACAUGCAAGUCGAACGGAAACAGGCCGCAAGGUGCUGACGAGUGGCGGACGGGUGCGUAAUGCAUCGGAACGGGCCCAGUCCUUGGGGGUAACUACUCGCAAGAGUAGCUAAUACCGCAUACGAGCUAUGGAUGUAAGCGGGGUACCGUAAGGCCUCGCGCGAUUGUAGCUGCCGAUGUUAGAUUAGGUAGUUGGUGAGGUAAAGGCUCACCAAGCCAACGAUCUGUAGCGGGUCUGAGAGGACGACCAGCCACACUGGAACUGAGACACGGCCCAGACUCCUACGGGAGGCAGCAGUGGGGAAUUUUGGACAAUGGGCGAAAGCCUGAUGCAGCAAUGCCGCGUGCAGGAAGAAGGCCUUCGGGUUGUAAAAUGCUUUUGUACGGAACGAAACGGCUCUGGUUAAUACCCGGGGCUAAUGACGGUACCGUAAGAAUAAGCACCGGCUAACUACGUG
rnacentral:rRNA from 1 species